rnacentral:rRNA from 1 species
ACCUGCCCAAGAGACUGGGAUAACACCUGGAAACAGAUGCUAAUACCGGAUAACAACACUAGACGCAUGUCUAGAGUUUGAAAGAUGGUUCUGCUAUCACUCUUGGAUGGACCUGCGGUGCAUUAGCUAGUUGGUAAGGUAACGGCUUACCAAGGCAAUGAUGCAUAGCCGAGUUGAGAGACUGAUCGGCCACAUUGGGACUGAGACACGGCCCAAACUCCUACGGGAGGCAGCAGUAGGGAAUCUUCCACAAUGGACGAAAGUCUGAUGGAGCAACGCCGCGUGAGUGAAGAAGGGUUUCGGCUCGUAAAGCUCUGUUGGUAGUGAAGAAAGAUAGAGGUAGUAACUGGCCUUUAUUUGACGGUAAUUACUUAGAAAGUCACGGCUAACUACGUGCCAGCAGCCGCGGUAAUACGUAGGUGGCAAGCGUUGUCCGGAUUUAUUGGGCGUAAAGCGAGUGCAGGCGGUUCAAUAAGUCUGAUGUGAAAGCCUUCGGCUCAACCGGAGAAUUGCAUCAGAAACUGUUGAACUUGAGUGCAGAAGAGGAGAGUGGAACUCCAUGUGUAGCGGUGGAAUGCGUAGAUAUAUGGAAGAACACCAGUGGCGAAGGCGGCUCUCUGGUCUGCAACUGACGCUGAGGCUCGAAAGCAUGGGUAGCGAACAGGAUUAGAUACCCUGGUAGUCCAUGCCGUAAACGAUGAGUGCUAAGUGUUGGGAGGUUUCCGCCUCUCAGUGCUGCAGCUAACGCAUUAAGCACUCCGCCUGGGGAGUACGACCGCAAGGUUGAAACUCAAAGGAAUUGACGG